rnacentral:rRNA from 2 species
UUGUGCGGGGGUGGCCUAAUACAUGCAAGUCGAGCGGCAGCGGAAAGUAGCUUGCUACUUUGCCGGCGAGCGGCGGACGGGUGAGUAAUGUCUGGGAAACUGCCUGAUGGAGGGGGAUAACUACUGGAAACGGUAGCUAAUACCGCAUAACGUCGCAAGACCAAAGAGGGGGACCUUCGGGCCUCUUGCCAUCAGAUGUGCCCAGAUGGGAUUAGCUAGUAGGUGGGGUAAUGGCUCACCUAGGCGACGAUCCCUAGCUGGUCUGAGAGGAUGACCAGCCACACUGGAACUGAGACACGGUCCAGACUCCUACGGGAGGCAGCAGUGGGGAAUAUUGCACAAUGGGCGCAAGCCUGAUGCAGCCAUGCCGCGUGUAUGAAGAAGGCCUUCGGGUUGUAAAGUACUUUCAGCGAGGAGGAAGGCAUUGUGGUUAAUAACCGCAGUGAUUGACGUUACUCGCAGAAGAAGCACCGGCUAACUCCGUGCCAGCAGCCGCGGUAAUACGGAGGGUGCAAGCGUUAAUCGGAAUUACUGGGCGUAAAGCGCACGCAGGCGGUUUGUUAAGUCAGAUGUGAAAUCCCCGGGCUCAACC